CCGCCUCGGCUGGCCCUCCCUGAGACUUGGCGGCGGCCGCGGGGCCGCCCGACUCCUCGGCGUCCGCGGCGCCCGGGCCCUCGGCGGCCUCCACGCCGUCGCAGCUGUCGCCCUCCGAGCUGGGCGCCGCCCGGCUGCUUCGGGCCGACGGGGAGUCGCUGGCCCCGGCCUGGCCCUGGCUCCCGGCCUGAAUCUCCUCAAUGAACAGUUCUCUGCGGAUCCGAGACCUGCGAGACACAAGCGGUCAUCGUACAACUGGAUAUAAAACCCAGCAAAUGUUAUUUUUGUAUCUGAAGCAGCAAAGAAAUUGUACUGUAAAUUUGCCCUGAUUCACCCAUGCGAGGGGCCGAUUUGGCAGAUCAUCCAUCUUGCUCACUGCAGACUGUCAAGGAUGGCACGAAUCCCCACAUGAUAAACAGAUUCCUUCUCAGCUCCUGGCAUGGUAUGGAUGGGAUGAUGUUCUGGUAAAGGUAAGACUAUAGGGACAUGAAGAAGAUCUGUGACUGCUAGGGGUUGGGGGCAGGACUAGACUACAAAAGGCCACAAGGGAAUUCUGGGGGCGGGGGAAAUGAUGGAAUCCAUCUGUGUCUUGAUUGCUAGAACUCACAGAACACUUCCACAAGCAAAGAGUGAAUUUUGCUGUAUUUCAAUUAUACUUUAGUACCAAUUUAUUCAGGACUAAGUGCUGGGAAAGAAUGAAGAGACAUUAUUCCAUUCAUUCUUUCACUCAUUCCAUUAUCUGUGGAAUCAGACUACUGGCAAUAUGGCAGUCACCUGAUGACUGGCUCUGCCCUCUUUGGGACUCCUACCUAGUGGGGAGACAGCCAUUCAUCAGAAAUGCCCAAGGGGCAAUGAAGGUUCUGAUGAGGGGCGGGGGGGGGGGGACACGGAGUAAGGGCAUGGAUGUGGCCUGAGGAUUAGAGGGGCCCCAGGGAGAGUGACACUUCUGGCAUGAAGAGGAGUUAGCUUGGUGAGUGGGGAUAGGCAGGAGUGGCAAGAGAGGGAGGUAGAUUGCUCCAGACCUCUGGUGGGCUAAUGACAUGAAUGCCAUGUAGGGUAGCAAGAAUAUGGGGUAAAGAGAGGCACCCCGGGGUUGGUCAGGACAGGGGAUUUGAACGGGCUCAGACGUCUGCUGUAAUCCUCAUGUGUGCACACAUGGGAGCCAGCGUGAGAAGAUGGGCCUACCUUUCCCCUAGCAAUGCUUUUCUCCCGGGAUGCCAGGCGGCCACUGGAGUGUGUAUCGAAGCCUCAUCUGGACUGGAAACAGUGUCUGUCACCUGGAGACCAGGUCUCCAGACUGUGGUGUAUUUAUACAAUAUACCAUGUGCUAGAGGCAGUGGCGAGGACAUCAGGGCUGGGGCCACGUGUACCAGCACCCGGGGCAUACCAGGGGAGCCACGAAGCAAGGGACAGAAUGGAGCAGAGCAUAAUGAUUGUACGUGUGGAGAGCCUGUACAUUCCUUAUGUUUUGCGUGGUUACAUAGAUACGUAGAGGCAAGGAUUUACAAUCAUGCCCAGGAAGGAUAAACAGCGAGUCUGCGAGAGACAACAGUCGCCUUCAAGGAGGAAUGGGAUUGGAGAGGGGGAUUCAACUCUAUCUUGGAUGUUUUAUUUCUUUUACGAAUCUAAGAUUGCACUGUGACCAAACGUUCAGGGUAAAGUUGGGUGUUGGUACAUGGGUGUUCACUGCAUUAUUCUGUAAUUAAAAUAUUACCGACCUAACAUAAAAAAAAAAAAAAAAGUAGGAAACCAAGUAAAUUCCCUCUUUAGGAGAGAG